GUGCUUGCUUUGGCAGCACAUACACUAAAAUUGGAAUGAUACAGAGAAGAUUAGCAUGGCCCCUGUGCAAGGAUGACACGCAAAUUUGUGAAGUGUUCCAUGAGAAA